rnacentral:piRNA from 1 species
UGUUUAUUUUAGAACAAAUUU